AACCCCUAGCGGUAGAUGAAGGAAGAAGUAGGAAGAGAGUAGUUAUAUGAUCAUUACAUGAAGUUCAACACAGCAUUCUUUAAAGAUUAGAAGAUAGAACAGUAGAAGUUGCUCAAGAGAAACUUUAUUGAUUUUUAAAGCUUAGAUGUUUGUCAUUAAUGGAAGAAAACGCCACAAAACGUAAUAAAACGAAGAUAUGAAAGAAGAACAGUUUGGAGGCUAUAAAUCUAUCUAUUUAAAGAAAUCCAACCGACUUAACGUUUCCUCUUCUAUACAAACACAAGAACAAACAUCUUACCGUGAACUGUACCAGAAGAUCUGGCCAACUUAAAAACGCUGAAAAUACAAAUACAUUCUUUAAAGAUCUAAGAACCUGAAGAAGUGACGGACGACUAUAGCCUCCUCUGUUUAUAUGCUCCUUAAGGGCAUAGGAUACUGCCUGGUUAUACCGUUGCCAACCAUGGAGAUACUGGUUCAUGUAAUAAAAAGAAAUAAAAAAUGGUAAGGAAUAAAAAUUAUCUUGCAUAAUUACUUUGAAAGGCCAUGAUCACAUUAACCAUGGUCAAAUCAAUUUGAAACUUGCAAAAAGUUUUUCUCACAAAAUAACUUACCUGAAGAACGCUUACUACGGUAAUUGUGAUUGCAAUUACAAUGCGAACAUCAACCUGAGGGGAAACUCGACGUUUGUAAUAUCUGUAGUAGUUAUAAUAAGCCUCCUCUACAAUGUGAAACAAUAAAAAUCAAGCUAAAGUUCAUGAUAAA